rnacentral:rRNA from 1 species
UCCGUAGGCGGAUUAAUAAGUCAGUGGUGAAAGUCUGUCGCUCAACGAUAGAAUUGCCAUUGAUACUGUUAUUCUUGAAUAACUAUGAAGUAGUUAGAAUGUGUAGUGUAGCGGUGAAAUGCAUAGAUAUUACACAGAAUACCAAUUGCGAAGGCAGAUUACUAAUAGUUUAUUGACGCUGAUGGACGAAAGCGGUGGGGAGCGAACA